GCGCGCGUGGCGGAAAUGGUAGACGCGCUGGAUUUAGGUUCCAGUGUCGCAAGACGUGGGGGUUCAAGUCCCUCCGCGCGCACCA
rnacentral:tRNA from 1 species